rnacentral:rRNA from 1 species
UGGGGAAUCUUCCGCAAUGGACGAAAGUCUGACGGAGCAACGCCGCGUGUAUGAUGAAGGUCUUCGGAUUGUAAAGUACUGUCAUUGGGGAAGAACGGUUUUCUUGAGAAUAUUGAGAAGACAUGACGGUACCCAAGGAGGAAGCCCCGGCUAACUACGUGCCAGCAGCCGCGGUAAUACGUAGGGGGCAAGCGUUGUCCGGAAUUAUUGGGCGUAAAGGGCGCGUAGGCGGGCCUUUAAGUCCGGUGUGAAAGAUCAGGGCUCAACCCUGAGAGUGCAUCGGAAACUGGAGGCCUUGAGGACAGGAGAGGAAAGUGGAAUUCCACGUGUAGCGGUGAAAUGCGUAGAUAUGUGGAGGAACACCAGUGGCGAAGGCGACUUUCUGGACUGUAACUGACGCUGAGGCGCGAAAGCGUGGGGAGCAAACAGGAUUAGAUACCCUGGUAGUCCACGCCGUAAACGAUGAGUGCUAGGUGUAGAGGGUAUCGACCCCUUCUGUGCCGCAGUUAACACAAUAAGCACUCCCGCCUGGGGAGUACGGCCGCAAGGUUGAAACUUAAAUGAAUUGACGGGGUCAUAGCUGUUUCCU